rnacentral:rRNA from 1 species
GUCAGCAUCCAUAUCACCCUGCUGGCUGCCCACUGAAGCUAAGCAGGGUUGAGCCUGGUCAGUACCUGGAUGUGAGACCUCCUGGGAAACUGGUUGCUGCUGGAA